CCUAGCCCUAGAGUCUUUGCAGGAGUGGCUACUGUGUCACAUGUCUGUCAGUUGGUGGCAGAGAGAAGAGAGGCUUUGUAUAUGCUCAGUGCCCUGACCUAUGGAUAUUUGAAUGAUUAGUAGCUUAACACU